rnacentral:rRNA from 1 species
UCCUACGGGAGGCAGCAGUAGGGAAUCUUCCGCAAUGGACGAAAGUCUGACGGAGCAACGCCGCGUGAGUGAUGAAGGUUUUCGGAUCGUAAAACUCUGUUGUUAGGGAAGAACAAGUUGGGUAGUAACUGACCCAACCUUGACGGUACCUAACCAGAAAGCCACGGCUAACUACGUGCCAGCAGCCGCGGUAAUACGUAGGUGGCAAGCGUUGUCCGGAAUUAUUGGGCGUAAAGCGCUCGCAGGCGGUCCUUUAAGUCUGAUGUGAAAUCUCGCGGCUCAACCGCGAACGGUCAUUGGAAACUGGAGGACUUGAGUACAGAAGAGGAGAGUGGAAUUCCACGUGUAGCGGUGAAAUGCGUAGAGAUGUGGAGGAACACCAGUGGCGAAGGCGACUCUCUGGUCUGUAACUGACGCUGAGGAGCGAAAGCGUGGGGAGCGAACAGGAUUAGAUACCCUGGUAGUCCACGCCGUAAACGAUGAGUGCUAGGUGUUAGGGGGUUUCCGCCCCUUAGUGCUGAAGUUAACGCAUUAAGCACUCCGCCUGGG